AGUGGGCAACUCACCUGGACACGGCUACCUCAGGGAUUCAAAAAUUCGCCCACCAUCUUCGACGAGGCAAUACACGAGGACGUGGGUGAGUACAGAAGGGAGCACCCUGGCCUCACCCUCCUACAGUACGUAGAUGACAUCCUGAUUGCUGCCAACACGGCCAAAGACUGAGCGAGGGACCCAGGACCUGCUGGCUACCCUGGGGGCCUUAGGGUACCGGGCAUCUGCGAAGAAGGCUCAGAUAUCCAGGGAGAGGAUUCACCAACAGGACACCAAAAUAGAGGAAGUUGUAUCUGCCUGCAAGACCUGCCAACUCACCAACGUGAGGGCCACAUCAAAUAAAAAAGGAACCAGGCUCAGAGGCACCAGACCGGGAGCCCAAUGGGAAGUCGACUUCAUUGAAGUCAAGCCAGGAAAGUAUGGUUAUAAAUAUCUUUUAGUAUUUACAGACACCUUCUCUGGCUGGGUGGAG